AUUUUCCAAAAAUAACUGCCAGCGGCCAGGCCGCCGGAAAAUUAUUUUCCAAAAAUAACUACCGGCGGCCUGGCCGCCGGGAUAUAAUUUUCAAAAAAAAAUGUCGGCGACUAAGCCUCCGGGACAAUUUUUGUUAAAAUCGGAAUCCACAAUUUUUUGCCGGCGGCCAAACCGCCGGUAUUUCACAAUUCCGGCGACAUUACUUCCGGCGAUGGAAUAUCGUCGGCUUGGCCGCCAGGAACUAUUAUACCGGCGGCCAGGCCGCCGGAAUUUGCCGCCAGAACUGCGCUGGUUUUUUGUAGUGUUUCUUUUAACAAACGUUCCUUAAUCGGUUGAAACCAAUGUUCUAAAAUUACCUGAAACUGUUGUUCCUCAAAUGGUUUCAACCAAUGUUGCUGAAAUGUUGUGAAAUCGUUGUUCUUUAUUUAGGCGACUCACUUCGCCUUUACUUAUGAAGUCAUUGUUUCUUUAUUCUACAAUUCGCCGUCUUCAAAAAUCGUAUGUCGAAA
rnacentral:lncRNA from 1 species